AGGCUAUCUAAGCUGGAAGGUGCUCAGUACUUAAGAGAUUUUAGGGUAUUGUGUUUCAGUAGUGUUAAUAGAUAAUUAUACAAAAGUAAAGGAAUUGUGCUGUGAUGAGAUAAUUCUUAAAGUAUUUAUGUGUAUGUUUGUGGUUUCAUGCUGGCAGUUAAUGCUUUGUACCCUGGACAGUUUGGAAAAUAAAAUGACUGAUACACUUGAAUGCAAGCUAAGAUGAAAGAUGUCGACUUAGUAACCCCUUUGAGGCAAGAUUUAGGGCAAUGUAACUGCUUGCAUAAGUAAGGCUCACCCUCAGGGAGUGAUCUCUGUUUUGUAAAGUUUUAAGUAGGCCGGAUGACACCUUUAAAAACCUCUGUGAAGGGUAAAGUAAAAUAGUGAGUGAAGAGGGGCUGAUUUCACAUUCCCUUUGCUGUUUUUGUCCUUCUUUCUGUGCUCGCUCUGCUGAACAUGUUUCUUUUGGAGCACCAUGACAGCGCAUAACACUGUGACAAAUGAAGUGGUGAUGUGAAAAUAAUAAUUACAUAUAAAAUACUGUUGUGUUAAUACUGCCAAAGAGAAGAUUCAGUACCACGUUGAUGUUGUUUUUCAGGCAUUUGCUAUUUGGCUCAUAAUAGCUAGACACUUUGCCAGGGAAAUGCAAAUUAUUCCUGCCAAGUUCAAGGUGAAUGGCAACCUAAUUUGUGGGGGAAGGGAAGACUGGAUUAUUACUUGAAAACCAGGUUAAUUUUUAGGACCAUAGCCAAGCAUGAGCUUUCCAGUCUAAAAUGGUAAUUUCUUCUCCUUUCAGCUUCUUCUGGAAAAGAAACUGCUUUGUCACUGUUGCCCUGUUUGUGGGAGUCUGAGCUGGCCUAAGGCUAGCAAAGGUUACCUUAAAAGUUGCUUGAGAAACCUGGAAUCUUGAAAUCAAAUGCUGAUCCGCAAAUGCUAAGAGGAAUGGGGAAUCUCCUAUAGGGAAGCCUGCUCAGAAAACUAGAUAAAUAAAGGGUGACCGUGAAGCUCAAAAAUAGAUUAGAAGUUCUCAUCUAAAAGAUAGACGCAAAGCAUCUGGAAACUGAUAUUGAGCAUGCCUUCAUAUCUGCAGAAAUAGGUGAGCUUGACUGGGAAGAGCAGAGAGUGGAUUAGGGAGAUCGCACAGAAAAAAUCUAAAGAUAAGUAAAUGAAGAACACAGUGAUGAGUGAAACUAAGUGGUGGUGAACAAAAGUAAAGCUCCUCUGCAGCAUAUUUACAACCAUUCAAGCUGGGAUAAAUAUGUAUCUCCAGGUAAUUGGAAGCUGUUUUAGCUACUGAUAAACAAACAGGUGUUUGUUCUGGGGAACUCUUAUCAGAGCUGUGGGCUGACUACUCAAAGAUCUUGCAACAACUGGAGUGCCAUCAUCUGUGUGAAAAAUUAAGUAGCUUGUUAGAGCUUUCAAGGAAAACAUGACGCAGCGUGAUCACCCUGUAUUCAUGUAAAUGUUCAAGGCCCCCUCCACUGAGGAGAUGUGACCACAGUGAGAACAGGGAAAGUCUUCUCACAUUGCGGCUUCAUCCUCCCAGACCUCGUCUUGUGCCUAGGCCUUCCCUGCUGCAGCUGCAUCACCUGCGUGUAUCGCUGAUGGGGAACUACUGUAGGGGAGAGGAAUGGAUCCUGAAAUAGCAUUAAAAAAGCCCAGAAUUUUCUGAGGAAAUACAGCAACAAAAUAUCCUAUACAAGUAGGGAUCACUCACCAGUAAACUGAGCUGAGAUAUUCAGCCCUGUUGCAGAUUGCGCUAUUGUGACAAAUGUUGUUAAUCCAGCAUCACGCACCUUUACCUACUUCAGACAGAAAUGGGGAGAACAGGGUAAGGCAUAGUAGGUUUCAACAAUGCAUGUU